ensembl:lncRNA
UUUGAACACAUGCUUCGCGUUGUGCCGGCGAAACGCACAUUUCUUGUCGCGUUGUGCCGGCGAAAUGCACACUUCUUGGACCCCUGCAUAACUGCUUGCAGUUCUAGUUAGGGGUCCAAGCCAACAGGUUGGAUCCCUAUUGUUUUUGUAAGGAUUUUUCUUCCUAUUAUUAUUAGGGGUCCAAGCCAACAGGUUGGAUCCCUAUUGUUUUUGUAAGGAUUAUUAUUCUUCCCCCCUUGAAAGUGAUACUACAGCCCAAACCGUAAAUGGUGCACACGCGCCAAUUGCAUGACUUGAUCCAGAAUCGGCACCGCUACUCAGAUAACAAAAUCCAGACACGCCGGCCCCUAGGUGGCGCUAUACCAAAGAAUACGCGUUUGGGGCUAUAACUCCCACACCGAACCUCCCACAGUCAAAAACUUGUACCCACAUAUUCACUGGAGUCUGCUGCAUCUUUU